UUUAAAGUCUGACCUGCCCAAUGAUUUUUUGAAUGGCCGCAGUAUUUUGACUGUGCAAAGGUAGCAUAAUCAUUAGUUUUUUAAAUGGAAGCUGGUAUGAAUGGUUUGAUGAGAAAAAAACUGUCUCUUUAUCAAUGUUUUAGAAUUUUAUUUUUGAGUUAAAAAGCUUAAAUUUAAUAGAAAGACGAGAAGACCCUAUAGAGUUUUAUAUUUAAAUGUUUAAAGAAUUUUUAGGUUUAGAUUUGUUUUUUAUUUGUUUAAUGUUUUGUUGGGGUGACAUAAAAAUUUAAUAAACUUUUUAUUUAUUAUUACACUAAUUAGUGAAUUAUUGAUCCUAAUUUUUAGAUUAAAAGAAAAAAUUACCUUAGGGAUAACAGCGUAAUUUUUUUUGAGAGUUCUAAUCGAAAAAAGAGAUUGCGACCUCGAUGUUGGAUUAAAGUUAAAUUUUGGUGCAGAAGCUAAAAGGUUAGGUCUGUUCGACCUUUAAAACUUUACA
rnacentral:rRNA from 1 species